CAAGAAGUGCUCAGCACCGCUACUUUCCGACGACAUCGAGAACGUCCCGCUCCCCGAGUCUCGUGACGACGAAGCCCCCAACUGCGGAUUAAGCCUAGCACCCGUUAGCGCUCCCAACAGCAGCCGCGUUUCAUCAGCGGUUCUACAUGACACUGCUAUGCUGCAGCCAGAAAAUGUGCAGCGCAUUCACAAAGAAGUGGGACAAAAACUUCAAGCGCUAGCUUCAACUCCUGCAACUGAGCGAAAAGUGGACCUUUUGGAUUGCGCUGACGACGCUGCUGCCGGGACAAACGGGCUUGCUACUUCAUUGCAGUAGAGUAGCAGUCUGGGUCAGUUGGUACAUACUGAAUAGUAAAAACCAGUCAAAAAAACGAAGGACAGAGAAAUAGACGUGGCACACACGACGACUGGACUUCAACUACUGCCGAAGCAUUCACUACACCUUCGUUUUUUUGACUGGUUUUUACUAUUCAUUACUUCAUCAUCGCGGGCUUGGACUCUCUGAAUGCGUUGCUGGUGUGUGUGAAGUGUACGAUGUGUGGUGCCAGCGUCACAGUGCGAAAAGGUGAGCGGGAUUAUGAACUUGCCCUGUAGUAUGCUGUCGAUUGCACAAAACUGCGGCGAUGUUGCAGAGGGGUGGAGUUCACCGCGUGUAAUCGGCGAACAGAAAGUCAAACCGCUCGUCGUGAACAUUCUCCCUAUGCGGGCAAUGCAGAGCACUGGCAAUCGCCAAACCGCCGUAAACGAUACUUUCGCGGCGAUGAACGUCUCGCACCGAUCGAGGCAUGCACAGCAAAACAUGGGCGUGGAAUCUAAAAACGAAGCUCGCACCCGUGGUGAUCGAGCUGCCGAAUAGUUGAUUGGGACGUGUGCGCGAUCAGUGCGCGAUUUAUACGGUCAUUUGAAGAUAGACAACACAGAUGACAUUGCCGUGUCGUGCAACGGCUCGUGGAUGACACGCGGCCACUCGUCCCAUAUCGGCGUCGGCACGGUGAUUGAGUAGUUCACAGGAUCCGUCCUCAAUUUUGUGGUGCUCAGCGAUUUUUGUGUUGGGAGCGAACAGGCAUCAAAAGAUGAUGACCCCGACCUACCAUGCUUGGAAGGAGGAUCAUAUGCGCCAGAAAAGACGCCAGUAAGAAAUCCGGUGAAAAGUUGUAACUGCACUGAUAAUUUUUCAAAGGUCACUCCAAAAGCAUAAGAUGCGCGCGGUACAGGACUCUACUUUCGGAUGGUGACAGCCGCACCUUCCUUUCCCGACUGGAAACCAGAGUGUAUGGAUACAUAGCUGUACGAAAUAAGGAUUGAGUGAAUCAUGUUCAGAAGAGAAUGGGCACUGCGCUGUGCAACCUAAUUAAAUCAAAGCAGUAGUGCUCUGGAACUGGCAGCCUUGGAGGCAAGGGUAAGCUAACUGGUGACCUAAUUACUAAGCUGAGUAAUUAUUACCAUUAGGCCUUGAAAUCGCACAGAUGCAAAGGCCAUGCAUAGGGCAGUCAUUGCCACGUAUCACCACAUUACUUCGAAUGAUGUGACGUCGAAUCACUCUCUCUGUCCAGAAGGCCCAGAAUUAUUCCGUCGACAAAUUGCCACAAAGGUCAAAGGGGAGCCUGCUCCGAAGCACUGCCCCAAUCUGCCACCCCAUGUAUGUCAGGUGCUUCUUCCUGUGUAUAAGCGCGUGUCUGAUGAAGCACUUCUUGAGCGAUGCCAAUGAAGAAAGAGACAAAACAACAACGAAAUUCUCCACUCUAUGACAUGGGUGCUUGUGCCAAAGGAACAGCAUGCAUCACUGUUCACUGUGCUAGUAGCUGUGGCUGAAUCUGUAAUGAAGUUUAGUGCUGAGAAUGAGAAAGCCUCAGCAGCCAUACUCUAAAGACUUGUUGCAGAAUCCUGGCCACACCAAGCGCAGGGCGUGCAAAGACCGCCGCGAGCUCCACCAUGUGCACACAAGCGUGCAUCUGCUGAAAACUUGCAGUGGGUGCUGGAGACAGCGUCACCGGAAUGACUGCAACCAGGCAGACUAUGUUCCUAGAGGCUAUGGAUGCAAUGGCAGUUGCAAAUUUUAAUAUUUUGUAGUGUUAUGUAUUAAAAAUAAGCUUUUUUUUUUUUUUUCUCAAAAUCUCGUUCUUUGUUUUUGUUAACUUUCUGUAAAAAAAUUGUUCCUGCAUUACAACGUGGCAAGGUGUCUUGGUUGCUCUGAAGUUUUGUACUAUUUAGAAAGUCAAGGAAAUGGUAAUUGAAAUAACUUUGGACAACAGGUGACAUUGAUAGGGAAUUAGGUCCUUGCUGCUAGCUAGGUAACUAGCUGCAAGCUAGGUUUAUGCUUGUUCAAGAGCCAUUUUUCUCUGAAGGUGUGAAAGAUGGAUUUAAUAGAUGUCAUGUUCAGUUAGAGUAAAACAGGCUUCACCAGUACUCGCCAAUCACUCUUUUUGCUGGCAGGAACAUUGGGACAUUGGAUGUUUGAAAUGGGAGCCAAUGUGAUCAAGACUGAGUGCAUAGUGAACCUAAUGUUCAAAAAAUUGAUUCUUUCAUACUGUAAAAAGCUAUUUGUUUUAUACAGUGGGCCCGCCAUGAGUCAAGAAUAAUUGUUUCUAAUAGAUAUAAACGAUUGUAAUGUAUUGUGAAGCACAGCAUUGUGACCCCAACCAAAGUACGUCUGUCAAUGCAAAGAAAGAACAUUGUGUGGCUGUAACUGUUGAGUGUUUAUGCUGGCACUGACAGUGAUCCUAUUUCUGUUACAGAUGUGUCCAUGUCGCCUGAAAAAGCAUUGGAACAAGUUGUAUUGCUCGGGCUUUGUAAACCAGCUCACCUUAUUUUUGAACAGAAUCCACCUUUUUUCUUUGCUACAUGACACAGUAGUGUGAUCUAUAAAUGAUUUAUCAUUGUGACAGUGAUGCAAGUGUUUACUAAUUGCUACCUGUGCUUCUGUUGUCUUGAACGAGUCUAAUUGCUAAUUUACUUGCUACCCCAUCAUUUUGCUGAAAUCAUGAAAAAAAGGUUUUAUUGCACUUACAUCCAGGUAAAAAAAUGAGGCUGUGGCUUAGCUCAGCUAACCCUGGAUAUGCAAAGCGAUUUAGCCUGGUUAAAUCUUGGUUUCACUUGCUUAGCCUUUGAUUUAGCUGUAAUUAUUAUACUUAGGUAUACACUUAUCGAUAUAACCCAGGUAUAAAUUAUAAGCAGCAAAUCCAAGCGUUUUGCGAUUUGCGAGCCGAACGGCUCGCUCUUCCUCAGUCUCCGAUGCUAGCUUCGUGCGCUUGGCAUUACGGACCCUCUCCAGUGAAGCAGUUCGCCGGGCGAAAGACGCGCGUCAGAGGCCGCUUGCGGUGUGGUCAGACGCUGGUAAGACGCCGAGAGGUGGUCAGACCAUAGAGAAAGAAGUGCUGUCAGCUGCGGCAGGUGAGGCCACGGCUCAGCUCGCGGUGCUGCCACCGGCCACGGCGUAAAUGUGGCCAGUGUAGCUUUCGCUACAAAAAUAGGUACACUGCAAUGUACAAGCAGAGAAUGUAAAAUAUAGUGUGGAAUAUUCACUGUUUGCAUGUAUAUGUGCAAUAGCACGGGUGUGUGUGUGUGGGAUGGGGGGUUGUUUCAUAUUUCUGUUGCUGAAGGAAUGAAAUAGGAUCAUGGAAAGUGUUUACAAUGCACUACUAUAGGAAAAAACUAUCUUGUUUAAUGCUCAAAGAUGGGGCUGUUCCACCACCUGCAAAUAUGUAAUUAUAGUGCUGUGCUUAUUCUUUAUAUAUGUUUCAAAUAUUUAUAAUUGUAUUUCAUAUUUAUUUCGUUUAUAAGAGUACUUAAUUUCAUAUGGGUCAUGUGUUCUAACAUCAGUCGAUGCUUUUGUUUUGCUGCGUUGUAUAAAUCCUUCUGUAAUACAGUGUUACGGAAAAAUGAUUAUGCUUAUUCUCAAAUUUGCUUUGCACAUUUAGGUAAAAAAUAAACAUCUUUUUCUGGUAUUUAUAUGUACCGUCAAUAAAGGAUUAAGCAUAAUAUAAAAAUUGUAGGCCAAAUCGGACCUCUUUGUAUUGGGAGCAGAAGUUCGUGUCUACCACGGGCAGUUAUUUAUUUUUGUAGUGGGAACAGUGCUUUAUUUUAAUGCUCGGAAGUGAAGCUUUAAUCUCCUCUACCAGCAGUCUUGAUGUUUCACAUUUUUCAUUUUAUUUUAUAUUUAAUUCAUGUGAAGGUUUGAUCUCGUAUGCUUCAUGUGUUCAAAUAUCUAUUGAUUCUCGUGCUGUAUUGUGAUGUGAAAAAAAAACAUGUAAUACUUAGUUCUUUAGGUGAGUGCAUAAGUGGCUGUUUAGGCAUGAUAUCAAACCUGGUUGCCAAAUCCCACCCCUGAGUAGUGAGCUAUAAUGUAUGUAUUAAGAAUAAUAGUAUACAGAGAUGUAUACAGACAGGAAAUUGUGUGAGACAUUUACUGCAUCAGUGCACUGUUGCCAUGAGAGUAAUAUUUGGGUUGCCAGGCCAUAGUUAUCAAGUGUUUGCCAUCAAGUGUGGCAACACUUUUUGAUUGCCAGAUGUAGCACUUUAAUUCCAUCAAACAUGUGACACAUUGCUACAGUGACUUCCUUUGCUCCCUGUGACUUUGCAGAUUCCUUGCCGUCGCAUUGCCCGGAACAGUACUUUUCACUCGUGUCCAUAUGUGGCCGGCUGCAUUGCUGCCGGCUGUGCACUUACAAGACUAAGCACAAGAAGUACAUGAACAAACACCUGCGCAUACACACAGGCGAGCGCCCCUACCGGUGCCACCUGUGCCCGGAAGCAUUCACUCAGAAUCACAGCCUGACACGGCAUCUGCGCACCCACACUGGAGAGCGUUCCUUUCCCUGCGUCCAAUGUGGUGCAUCCUUUUCACGGAGAGACCACCUCUUGCGCCACAUGUCCCGUCACUCGGAGGAGAAGGCCUAAAGAUUCCUUGCCAUCUGGGUCCCCGGCAGCAUAUAACUCAUUCGGGCCCCUGGAGCAGUACCGGUCACUUGUGGAUGUGUAUGGCUGGAUGCUUUCCUGCCGGCUGUGCCCUUACAAGACCGAGAACAGGACCACCAUGGAAAGUCACUUGUGCACACACACGGGCGAGCGCCCCUUCAAGUGCCACCUCUGCCCAAGCGAUUUCACUCAAAUUAGCACCUGAAAGACCAUGUGCACACCCACAUGGAGGUGCGGCCCUACCAUUGCCACCUGUGCCCGGAAGUGUCCACCUGACACGCCAUUUGCGCUGCCACACAGGAGAGCGUCACUUUCCCUGCACCUACUGCAGUGCAUCCUUUACACUGGAAGACUACCUCAAGAACCACAUGUCCUGUCAUGCAGGGAAGAAGACCUAGAGGUCAGGAGCUUGCAGUUUUCUUUUUUAAAUCAAUGGUUUGAUUGAUUUUUAUGGAAUUAAAAGUGAUUUCUAAACUGCAUUGAGAGGUUUCUGGCUUCCUGAGCCUUAGAGUUUCUUCUAAGUGUACCUAAACUGAAGCUUGCUCCACUGUCUAUGCGAAUUUGUAGAAAACCGCCUCCAAAUAAUUUCACAGUUAUGCCUGAAUACCGAAGGUUUUAUCUACCUUGAAUUUGGAUUGAAGUGCCUGAGGUCUACCUUGAAUUUGGAUUGCCUAAAAUGUAUUCAGGAAUGUGUAAGUAAGUUUCUUGAAAUUACAGGUAAUGUAAAAGUUAAAAAAAAAACAAAAAAACAGGAGCCUACACUUGAGACUUGGUUGCAGUAGCAUGGUGGUAGAUUUCUUGUCUUUCAUUGAAAUUUAUCAACACAUUGGUGGUACAGUUCACAUUUCAUUUAAUUGUGCAUCCUAGUUCAAGUGCUUAUGUUCUCGUAACUAUUAUUUAUUAAUUUUGGGUCAUUCUACACAAAAUCAACCAGCAUUUUUUGUUACCUAUCACAGAUAUAGUUGAAAAAAUCACCGCCCAAGCACUCCGUACAGAUGGUGAACCAGUGAAGCUGAAACUUGCGGCCCCUGUGUUCAUCACUGGGUUAUUCUCGACAGUUCAUUAAAGUUUUUCUCAAUUAUUGGUUACUUCUUUGUGUUUCUUAAUGAGGUUACACACAUAUUCGGCUGCGAUGGAGAGAACGACGCCACUGAUGGUAUGCCCGCAGUCCUCCGUUGUCGCUUGCGUUCGAUGUGUCUAGUUUGCUCGGCGGCGUGGUUAGCAGCAUUCACGUGCUAUUGCCGCUUGCCAGCAUCACAGUUAUGGUUGGUCAUAAGCCAACCUCAUAAUACUGGUUGGCAUUUGCUCAUCAAGGUAGUAACAUGAGCAAGUGGGCACUGAAGUUUUGUAGUGGGCAUUGCCUCUGGCCGGAAUCAGCUGCCGAGAUAUCUGAACGUGCGGGCUGAUGAACAAGAUCUUGUGCAAGGUUACUGGUGUCACAUGGUUCACGAAGUAAUGACAGCACCGUGUAUCUCGCAGGCUUAUUGAAAAAUACGCAAAGGUUCUCAUGAGGCAACAUACCACAGCUAUUGGGCUUGCUGUGUGGAUUCUACAUUAUGGCAAGAUUCACACAGUACUGGGCCGUCAUGAUCCUGAUUCAAAAUGUCAUGUCUUUCUUUUUUUCGCAUCAAUUACAACAAGCACCUUAUGAAGGAAGGAAAUUAAAUGAAAGCCUGUAGGCAUUUUUGUACAGAUUCUGUGAGAUUUAGCUAAGAUUAGUCACUGUCAUCUAGAUUCCUCUGCAAGACAACACUCCUGCUGACUUACGACUCCGAAUUGUCAUUCAUGGUGAAAAAUAGAAACGAAAAGAUCCAGCAGUCCUGUGCAAUCUGUGCAGCCAAGACCAAUUUUCAUCAUUGCUCCUGUAAACAUUUCAUUGGUCAUAGUAUCACUGGUGUUCAUAGGUUGUUGACUCUGGGCUGCAAAGUCUAUGGAAUUUUUUCCCCCUCUCUUUGACUUAAUUUUGUUUACUUGCCUUCUACGUGUGGAGAACUUGGUCUACCAAAAGCACAUGUUUUGUCUAGCCAAGGAAAUCUAACUGACGGCAUGAAACUGCAUCAAAGUUUCUGAAGUGUAGCUGUUCUGCGUUACUCAGAAGUUGAAUAUGUGGUGAAUAAUAUUACUAGAACAUCAGGGCCUGUUUUACAAAACCUUUUACUUGACGCAUUCUCAAACUUGUAGGCACAUUAGCAGCCAUUGAAACUAGUUGUCCUCGCUUCUUGACCGCCCUAAAGUUUGCACGUCUCUUGCGUGCCACUCUACAUUUCGACACCUCGUGGCCAGUAUGUCCCUUCAUUCUCCACCCUUCCCCUUCGGCCCCUGCAUCAGUGAAUGAUGCCAACACUACACAAACGCUGUUAGUUUUGAAAGUGGCUUUCAGCUUGCAGAACAUUGAGUCCAUUCCUAAACAUGUGUAACCAUGCCAGCAUGAAUGAAACGUGUUCAAUGCAGGCCCGUGAAUCGUACAGCAACGAGCCUUGCACGCCUGUGCCACAGUGGUCUCCUCAGUAAGUGUGGAUGUGGUGUGCAAUGGUUUUGGUAAAUUAAAACUCUAAUGCAAAACUCCAUCCAAGUCGCGGUUGGGGUUAGAUUCGUUUUGGCCACUUGCAGAAUCUUAAAAUACCGCUCACGAGAAGCCCUUGUCUACAAGAAGGCAAAGCCAGCGGCGCAGCAUCUUCACUUCAGCCUCCCUCUCACGCGGCUCCUUGGUGAAAAGAUCAAGUGACAUUCAUGCUUUCUUAUGACACACAUAUCGGAAUAGGAAAGUUAUUAGUGUUCUAGAAGCAGUGGCAAUCUGCUUUUGCCCAUAAUGUAUGGACGCAGUUUUCUUGAGCCAUCCAUGUGCAUCACAAGCAAAACUGACAAGCAGCCUGCUCAUUUUUUAGAAUGAAUAGGCUGUAAUACUAUCAAAGUCUUUUCCUAAGUUAGUUUGCCAUUAUACAGCUUUAUUGCAAUAUGACGUACUGUAUAUGUGUACUUUCUACGUUUUGUCAAUGCGUGAUGAGUUGAUGGGCUAAUUGCACCUUCUACCCUGCAGUACGUUAAGUCCUCAUGCAGUUACACAUAACAUACUUGCAUAGUGUCCUGGAUACACUUAUAGCCACAGUAGUCCAUCAGACGAAAUUCUGCAGCUACAAAAUUCUUUCAUUAGUGACCUGCAAGCAAGAAAAAGCAGGUGAUGUUUGCGUGCUUUGCAAGUUUAAACAUCAACUUUUUCUCUGGUACCAUACGUGUGUGGCAGAACAAGUGUGAAUAUGUGGCCCAUAUUGUGGUGACUACACUAAAUACCAAUCUGCCUGAAGUAACACACAUGCAAGAAAAACUGAAAUAUGUGUGUUGUUUUCACUUGCAAUAGUGAUACCAUGAAGUGCAUUUUUUUCUUUAAUUAGCUUGCAUUGGUUUACCAAAAAUACUGUUUUUUUUUCUUAGGAUUUUUAUGAGGGGAGGGAAGUCAGGAGGAAUUAUUAUGGUAGAUAAGGCCUGAUAUAGUGAUUCUGUUCAAAGUCCUCCAACAUGGCGAUUAUCGUUACAUGAUUGUGCUGGCAUGUUAGCAAUGCAUGGCUUUACAUUUGUUAUCGUGAAUAUCAUGGUGUUCAGAGAAGGCGAUUCAAUCAACUUAGCAGGGUUUGCAGCUACUGCACAAAGGUUGGACGUUUCUGGAUCCAUCAAAGGACUGUGUAAUCUGGCUUCGAAUAUAAUACCUUCUUGCAUUGUGUAUUACGUCCCAUUUGUGAACUUGUUUCAUUGAAUGACAUUUGUUUUCACUUGAAGCAUUAGUGAUAUUCAUUAGUUGUCAUUGCUGUAGUACUGAAAACUGCACCUCAAUUCAUUACUUUCUAAUAUGUAUAUUUUUUCAACGUUUCAAAGGUCAGUAUUGUUAAGAUUAUUUUAGCAAACAGGUUUAAUAUACUGUUGUUCUUUGAGAAUGCCAUGAAUGUAUGGUUCUUAUGAAAAGUUUCUAGCAACGUUUAUAUGGCUUCAUUCCAGCUUCUAUUGUACUUACAUUUUUGAAGUGGUACGAGAAGUGGGCCUUUCUGGUUUGCUUUUAUACCAUCCACUGACUGUACUGUCUUUAAGUGCAUUUUAGGUUUAGGUUGCCAAAGAACGUUAAGCGCCUCUACAUUCUGAAUAAAUGUCAUGCUAUGAUGCUCCAUUA